AUUAGUUGCAACAACAAAGAGCCUGUCACUACAGCUAAGAAAAGAAAAAAUUCCCAGUGGAACUCCUGUCAGAGGAAGUUGGUGUGGAGGCAGCAGGGGGAAAAGUGGACAGUGAAAAGAGCAUGGCAAGAGACUUUUGAGAGUCCUGAAAGAAUAAUGCAUGGAGUCAUCAUUUGAACCUUUGGAAUAGAAGGGCAUUGGCAUCUAAAGACCUUUGAGGGCUAAUUGUCAUCUAUGUGACUGUAUUUGGAAAAUACAAAACAACAACCACCAAAAAAACCC
rnacentral:lncRNA from 1 species